AUCAAAUUUUGACCCAAAUCACGGUAGGGGNUANCCCGCCGUACUUA
rnacentral:rRNA from 1 species